rnacentral:tRNA from 6 species
UCCUCGAUAGCUCAGCUGGUAGAGCAAUCGGCUGUUAACCGAUCGGUCGUAGGUUCGAGUCCUACUCGAGGAGCCA